CGAUGUUCAACUGGCGUGUCCGCGGGACGUCCUGCCGGUGGGCUUAGCCCGCAAGGGCGGCCCAACUUCAAAUCCCAUCGCGGUGCUCUUCACUGAGUGUCGAGGUGGGCCGGCACGUUUACUUUGAACAAAUUAGAGUGCUUAAAGCAGGCUAAAACUUCGCCUGAAUACUGUGUGCAUGGAAUAAUGGAAUAGGACCUCGGUUCUAUUUUGUUGGUUUUCGGAACCCCGAGGUAAUGAUUAAUAGGAACGGAUGGGGGCAUUCGUAUUGCGACGUUAGAGGUGAAAUUCUUGGAUCGUCGCAAGACGGACAGAAGCGAAAGCAUUUGCCAAAAACGCUUUCAUUGAUCAAGAACGAAAGUUAGAGGUUCGAAGGCGAUCAGAUACCGCCCUAGUUCUAACCAUAAACGAUGCCAGCUAGCGAUCCGUCGACGUUCCUCCGAUGACUCGACGGCCAGCUUCCGGGAAACCAAAGCUUUUGGGUUCCGGGGGAAGUAUGGUUGCAAAGCUGAAACUUAAAGGAAUUGACGGAAGGGCACCACCAGGAGUGGAGCCUGCGGCUUAAUUUGACUCAACACGGGAAACCUCACCAGGCCCGGACACCGGAAGGAUUGACAGAUUGAGAGCUCUUUCUUGAUUCGGUGGGUGGUGGUGCAUGGCCGUUCUUAGUUGGUGGAGCGAUUUGUCUGGUUAAUUCCGAUAACGAACGAGACUCUAGCCUGCUAACUAGGCGUAUUUUCGACAUCUCAAAGGUCCGUCGUCCCGGCCCUCGGGUCGUGGGCGUGCGCGAUUUUUACUGUCGGCGUACUAUCAAUUCUUCUUAGAGGGACAGGUGGCUUCUAGCCGCACGAGAUUGAGCAAUAACAGGUCUGUGAUG
rnacentral:rRNA from 1 species